UACGUAGGGGGCUAGCGUUGUUCGGAAUUACUGGGCGUAAAGCGCGUGUAGGCGGGUCUUUAAGUCAGGGGUGAAAUGCCAAGGCUCAACCUUGGAACUGCCUUUGAUACUGGAGAUCUUGAGUCCGGGAGAGGUGAGUGGAAUUGCGAGUGUAGAGGUGAAAUUCGUAGAUAUUCGCAAGAACACCAGUGGCGAAGGCGGCUCACUGGCCCGGAACUGACGCUGAGACGCGAAAGCGUGGGGAGCAAACAGG
rnacentral:rRNA from 1 species